rnacentral:rRNA from 1 species
AGAGUUUGAUCAUGGCUCAGAGCGAACGCUGGCGGCGUGCUUAACACAUGCAAGUCGAACGGGUGUAGCAAUACAUCCGUGGCGAACGGGUGCGUAACACGUGGAUAACCUUCCUUCAGGUGGGGAAUAACCCAGUGAAAAUUGGGCUAAUACCGCAUAACAUCGCGAUGGCACAUGCCGUUGCGCUCAAAGCCGCAAGGCGCCAGAAGAGGGAUCCGCGGCCGAUUAGCUUGUUGGCGGGGUAAUGGCCCACCAAGGCAUUGAUCGGUAUCCGGACUGAGAGGUUGGCCGGACACACUGGAACUGAGACACGGUCCAGACUCCUACGGGAGGCAGCAGUGGGGAAUCUUGCACAAUGGGCGAAAGCCUGAUGCAGCAACGCCGCGUGGGGGAUGAAGCUUCUCGGAGUGUAAACCCCUUUCGACCCGGACGAAAGCCCGCAAGGGUUUGACGGUACGGGUAUAAGAAGCCCCGGCUAACUACGUGCCAGCAGCCGCGGUAAUACGUAGGGGGCCAGCGUUGCUCGGAAUUACUGGGCGUAAAGGGUCCGUAGGCGGUGUGGUAAGUCGAUAGUGAAAUCUCUGGGCUUAACUCAGAGGCUGCUAACGAAACUACCAUGCUAGAGUGUGAGAGAGGCGAGUGGAAUUACGGGUGUAGCGGUGAAAUGCGUAGAUAUCCGUAGGAACAUCCGAGGCGAAAGCGGCUCGCUGGAUCACAACUGACGCUGAGGGACGAAAGCUAGGGGAGCAAACAGGAUUAGAUACCCCCGUAGUCC